rnacentral:rRNA from 1 species
UACGGGGGGAGCAAGCGUUGUUCGGAUUUACUGGGCGUAAAGGGUGCGUAGGCGGUCAGCACAAGUCAGUUGUGAAAUCUCCGGGCUUAACUCGGAAAGGUCAACUGAUACUGUGCGACUAGAGUGCAGAAGGGGCAACUGGAAUUCUCGGUGUAGCGGUGAAAUGCGUAGAUAUCGAGAGGAACACCUGCGGCGAAGGCGGGUUGCUGGGCUGACACUGACGCUGAUGCGCGAAAGCCAGGGGAGCGAACGGG